rnacentral:rRNA from 1 species
GACGAACGCUGGCGGCGUGCCUAAUACAUGCAAGUAGAACGCUGAAGGAGGAGCUUGCUUCUCUGGAUGAGUUGCGAACGGGUGAGUAACGCGUAGGUAACCUGCCUGGUAGCGGGGGAUAACUAUUGGAAACGAUAGCUAAUACCGCAUAAUAGUAGAUGUUGCAUGACAUUUGCUUAAAAGGUGCAAUUGCAUCACUACCAGAUGGACCUGCGUUGUAUUAGCUAGUUGGUGAGGUAACGGCUCACCAAGGCGACGAUACAUAGCCGACCUGAGAGGGUGAUCGGCCACACUGGGACUGAGACACGGCCCAGACUCCUACGGGAGGCAGCAGUAGGGAAUCUUCGGCAAUGGACGGAAGUCUGACCGAGCAACGCCGCGUGAGUGAAGAAGGUUUUCGGAUCGUAAAGCUCUGUUGUAAGAGAAGAACGAGUGUGAGAGUGGAAAGUUCACACUGUGACGGUAUCCUACCCAGAAAGG